rnacentral:rRNA from 1 species
UACGUAGGUGGCAAGCGUUAUCCGGAUUUAUUGGGUGUAAAGGGCGUGUAGGCGGGAAUGCAAGUCAGAUGUGAAAACUAUGGGCUCAACCCAUAGCCUGCAUUUGAAACUGUAUUUCUUGAGUGCUGGAGAGGCAAUCGGAAUUCCGUGUGUAGCGGUGAAAUGCAUAGAUAUCACGAAGAACCCCGAUUGCGAAGGCAGCAUACCGGCUCCACACUGACGCUGAGGCACGGAAGCGUGGGUAUCGAACAGG